rnacentral:rRNA from 1 species
AACGGCAGCACGGGGGCAACCCUGGUGGCGAGUGGCGAACGGGUGAGUAAUACAUCGGAACGUGUCCUUUCGUGGGGGAUAACCAGUCGAAAGACUGGCUAAUACCGCAUGAGAUCUCACGAUGAAAGCGAGGGACCGCAAGGCCUCGCGCGAUUGGAGCGGCCGAUGUCGGAUUAGCUAGUUGGCGGGGUAAAAGCCCACCAAGGCGACGAUCCGUAGCUGGUUUGAGAGAACGACCAGCCACACUGGGACUGAGACACGGCCCAGACUCCUACGGGAGGCAGCAGUGGGGAAUUUUGGACAAUGGGCGCAAGCCUGAUCCAGCCAUGCCGCGUGUGUGAAGAAGGCCUUCGGGUUGUAAAGCACUUUCGGCCGGAACGAAAUCGCCUUUGUUAAUAGCGAGGGUGGAUGACGGUACCGGAAGAAGAAGCACCGGCUAACUACGUGCCAGCAGCCGCGGUAAUACGUAGGGUGCGAGCGUUAAUCGGAAUUACUGGGCGUAAAGGGUGCGCAGGCGGCGUCGCAAGUCAGGCGUGAAAUCCCCGGGCUUAACCUGGGAACUGCACUUGAAACUACGAUGCUGGAGUAUGGCAGAGGGAGGUGGAAUUCCACGUGUAGCGGUGAAAUGCGUAGAGAUGUGGAGGAACACCGAUGGCGAAGGCAGCCUCCUGGGCCAAUACUGACGCUCAUGCACGAAAGC